CGUAGAACGGGAUAACAGUGCGUCAUAAGGUCGUUGGGAUAAUAAAGUGAGAAUGGUGACCGGUAAGGGGAUCUUAACCCUUGACUUGGUGUUGUCAGCACCACGCUCUCCCAAGUGAGCCACGGGCCGGCCCAUCAUUAGUUCUUUUGAACUUUACCAGGCAUUAAUAUACACUUUAAAAAAUGGUGAUGGGUACAGUGAAAUGAAGAAGCAGCUUAUGAACAGAGAACAGGAAAGCAUUUUGUUA